GGGGACGAAUUGUUUCGACAGAUGGAUGCUCUUUAACACUGCAGGCCGACCGUUGAUGGGUGGUCGUAAACAAACCGUCAAAAACUAAAUGCUGAUGCUGUAAAAGCUAAAGCAGCUCGAUUGGCUCGAGAUCUUCGUGAUCUCAUGGAGUAUUCUGCGAAAGCAGCUUAUCUCUACGCCUAAAAGCCGCCUCUUAAGUCAUUUCUCGGUGUGACUUUUAAGGUGUAAACUCAGCCGAGGUGCAGUCGUAUGGGUUUGACGUUCCCGUAAGACUAAAGACUAAUACGUCUCGAUUUCUUCUUUCCUGUCUAUCGGAUCAGGGAGAAAUGACAAUCAUAGACAGACUACGCCUGUAGACGUGUUGAUGGCUUCUUUCUGGACGAGGGCUCAUUACCCUCCGUCUCCACAA
rnacentral:tmRNA from 1 species